AUGAUGGCUAGAUAUUGGAAGAAUACUUGAAAUAUGGCAUGUGCUGGAAUGAUGUUUGAAAUAAGGCAGGUGCUGGAAGAACACGACUUGGCUUGGCCCUCACGUGGGCAAAAUUGUGUUGCCCCUUCCUCUUGAAUUUUUUAUUUGCAAGUGGCUACUAUUUUUCCCUUUCACUUGGCAUGGCGUGCUUUAUUUUCUGAUUUUCCCUCACUCUUAUUUCUUCUUCUUCUUCUUCUUCUCCAAGACCCAAACCCGUGGGUAUUGUGCAUCAGUACGUAAGUCAUAUUUCGGAAGCUCGGAUCAGAAAACUUCCUUGAUAAAAGUUGUUCAUCUGCUCGAGUACUAUAGCCUGUAAAAUUUGCAGAAUUGUUUGAAUUUUUCUGAUACCUCAAAACUGGUCUGCAACUUCUGCAUUCAUCCAUGGCUGACUUGAUUGAGAGGUUCCAAAGCAUGAGAAAUGUCAUCUUCUUACUGAUUUGUUAGGAACUUGAUGGUAUGAAGGUGAGAUUUUGGUUGCUCACACCUUGUCUUGCGAUAUGAAGGCUUAUGGAAGAUUUGAAUUGUUUGACCAGAGAGACUUUGGAUGAGACAGAGAACAAGCUAGUUGUUGAGUUCUUCAUCCUCGUGGGGUUUUGCUCUUCGUUUUGGCAGCCAAGCACCAAACCCCUUUGACCUAUUUUGUCAUCGUUGCAACAAUGGUACUCACGGCAUGGGUGCUAGCAAGGAAGGGCUCGCAUCAGCUUUUUGGGUUUUCUUCUUUUCGAUUUCUUUCUUUAGCAAGCCGCUGGAAGAGUGCUAAAGGAUUGCAAAAAGAAAUCCCUGGUGUAUACGUCUCAGACACAGGUAGGGAAAAGGCAAGUGCCGGAAGCUUUGACGUUUUUGCUGCUGGAACCCCCAAAUCCUCCAGCCUUCUAACUCGGAUAUUUGAGCUUCUGCUUUAAUCCUUUGGUAAGUAACUCUGCCAAUUUGAAUAUUCCAGGAAUAAGCAUAGACUGGUGCUUGGCCUAGGCUCACUUUUCUUGUGAACACAUGCUUGAUUAACCUUGGGCCUUGGUUUAUGUUGUGGGAAAUAGAAAUUGAUAGAAUGCAUGUUUUGCAAUGCUUGAAUUUUUUGCAUUUUUGA